rnacentral:rRNA from 1 species
CCCUUAGAUGUUCUGGGCUGCACGCGCGCUACACUGAAGCGUUCAACGAGUAUUCACCUUGCCCGGGAGGGUUGGGUAAUCUUUUGAAAACGCUUCGUGAUGGGGAUAGAUUAUUGCAAUUAUUAAUCUUCAACGAGGAAUUCCUAGUAAGCGCGAGUCAUCAGCUCGUGCUGAUUACGUCCCUGCCCUUUGUACACACCGCCCGUCGCUCCUACCGAUUGAAUGGUCCGGUGAAAUCUCGGGACGGCGGCUCGGUCGCUUGCGUCCGACUGCUGAAACUUGAUUAAACCAUAUCAUUUAGAGGAAGGUGAAGUCGUAACA